GGCGAGACGAGCCGUUUAUCAUUACGAUAGGUGUCAAGUGGAAGUGCAGUGAUGUAUGCAGCUGAGGCAUCCUAACAGACCGGUAGACUUGAACCUUGUUCCUACAUGACCCGAUCAAUUCGAUCAGGCACUCGCCAUCUAUUUUCAUUGUUCAACUCUUUGACAACACGAAAAACCAUUGUUCAACUCUUUGACAACAUGAAAAAACCAAAGGCCUCUGCCCUGCCCUCCCUCUCUAUCUAUCCAAGGGAUGGAAGGGCA
rnacentral:rRNA from 1 species